rnacentral:lncRNA from 1 species
CAGUCUUCAAGAAAUUAAACUGGCAAGUGGAAAUGUUUAAACAGUUCAGUGAUCUUUAGUGCAUUGUUUAUGUGUGGGUUUCUCUCUCCCCUCCCUUGGUCUUAAUUCUUACAUGCAGGAACACUCAGCAGACACACGUAUGCGAAGGGCCAGAGAAGCCAGACCCAGUAAGAAAAAAUAGCCUAUUUACUUUAAAUAAACCAAACAUUCCAUUUUAAAUGUGGGGAUUGGGAACCACUAGUUCUUUCAGAUGGUAUUCUUCAGACUAUAGAAGGAGCUUCCAGUUGAAUUCACCAGUGGACAAAAUGAGGAAAACAGGUGAACAAGCUUUUUCUGUAUUUACAUACAAAGUCAGAUCAGUUAUGGGACAAUAGUAUUGAAUAGAUUUCAGCUUUAUGCUGGAGUAACUGGCAUGUGAGCAAACUGUGUUGGCGUGGGGGUGGAGGGGUGAGGUGGGCGCUAAGCCUUUUUUUAAGAUUUUUCAGGUACCCCUCACUAAAGGCACCGAAGGCUUAAAGUAGGACAACCAUGGAGCCUUCCUGUGGCAGGAGAGACAACAAAGCGCUAUUAUCCUAAGACCCUUCACCCCUCACCUCGAUGCAGCCAGUAGCUUGGAUCCUUGUGGGCAUGAUCCAUAAUCGGUUUCAAGGUAACGAUGGUGUCGAGGUCUUUGGUGGGUUGAACUAUGUUAGAAAAGGCCAUUAAUUUGCCUGCAAAUUGUUAACAGAAGGGUAUUAAAACCACAGCUAAGUAGCUCUAUUAUAAUACUUAUCCAGUGACUAAAACCAACUUAAACCAGUAAGUGGAGAAAUAACAUGUUCAAGAACUGUAAUGCUGGGUGGGAACAUGUAACUUGUAGACUGGAGAAGAUAGG